rnacentral:antisense_RNA from 1 species
AUCCUACCGAGGCCACCAUAGACCAGCCAGCCCUCAGCGUACAUGCCAGCUAAUUACAGAUGCAGGAGCAAACCCCUGGCCCAUACAUCAAUUUUAAUGUCAUUGAAUACAGAGAACAAAUCUCAUUCAUUUUGGUAUCGGCUCGAGUCAACAAACAUUGAAAAAUCAUUUACUGCGUCUGAUUUUGGGUAUGUUGAAUUGGUGACAUCUGAGUUGCUUCUGGUCUAUCCUGAUAGAAACAUACAGUAAACAGAGAAAAAAAAGGAUCUCAGGUGAGAUGAUGUAUGGGAAUGCUCAGCAUACAGAAUGAAUGGAUAAGAGGCCUGAAAACAUAAUCCUGUAAACAACCAUAUUGAAAGAGAAGACAGAAGACAUCAAAGAGAUGGAGUUUCGCUCUUGUUGCCCAGGCUGGAGAGCAACGGCACAAUCUCAGCUCACCGCAACCUCCGCCUCCCGAGUUCAAGCAAUUCUCCUGCCUCAGCCUCCUGAGUAGCUGGAAUUACAGGAUUUUGGAAGCAUUGCCUUCUACAGAAUCCACAGUAGUCCGAAGUUCUUCUACGGUUUUUGUCAAACUUUGAUUUUCCAUCUCUAGCUUCAAUAAUCUACUUGAUGUCAACUCAUUCACCUCAUGGCCCAGGGAUUUCUGCGGUGCUAUAAUAUUGAAAAAUACACCAUUGUAUUUACUCUGUACUGUUUUUACUAUGUUUACUCUUUACUAUUUAAAAAGUUGAGUGUAUAUGCAUUG